AUUGAACGCUGGCGGCAUGCUUUACACAUGCAAGUCGAACGGUAGGGUAGCAAUACCUGAGAGUGGCGAACGGGUGAGUAAUGUAUCGGAACGUGCCCAAGAGUGGGGGAUAGCCCGGCGAAAGCCGGAUUACUACCGCAUACGAUCUAUGGAUGAAAACGGGGGACCGCAAGGCCUCGUGCUCCUGGAGCGGCCGAUAUCAGAUUAGGUAGUUGGUGAGGUAAAGGCUCACCAAGCCAACGAUCUGUAGCUGGUUUGAGAGAACGACCAGCCACACUGGGACUGAGACACGGCCCAGACUCCUACGGGAGGCAGCAGUGGGGAAUUUUGGACAAUGGGCGCAAGCCUGAUCCAGCAAUGCCGCGUGCAGGAUGAAGGCCUUCGGGUUGUAAACUGCUUUUGUACGGAGCGAAAAGGCUUCUUCUAAUACAGGAGGCUCAUGACGGUACCGUAAGAAUAUGCACCGGCUAACUACGUGCCAGCAGCCGCAGUAA
rnacentral:rRNA from 1 species